rnacentral:rRNA from 1 species
GACGGAGGGUGCAAGCGUUGUUCGGAUUGACUGGGCGUAAAGGGCGUGUAGGCGGUUGGUCAAGUCCGAUGUGAAAGCCCGGGGCUCAGCUUCGGAAGUGCAUCGGAAACUAGCCAGCUGGAGCGCGAUAGAGGAGGGCGGAAUUCCUGGUGUAGCGGUGAAAUGCGUAGAUAUCAGGAGGAACACCGGCGGCGAAGGCGGCCCUCCGGAUCGUUGCUGACGCUGAGGAGCGAAAGCGUGGGGAGCGAACAGG